AACGUAGGACACAAGCGUUAUCCGGAAUGAUUGGGCGUAAAGCGUCCGCAGGUGGCUGUGUAAGUCUGCUGUCAAAGAGCGAAGCUCAACUUCGUAAAGGCAGUGGAAACUACACGGCUAGAGUGCGUUCGGGGCAGAGGGAAUUCCUGGUGUAGCGGUGAAAUGCGUAGAGAUCAGGAAGAACACCGGUGGCGAAGGCGCUCUGCUAGGCCGCAACUGACACUGAGGGACGAAAGCUAGGGGAGCGAAUGGG
rnacentral:rRNA from 1 species